UACGUAGGGGGCUAGCGUUGUCCGGAUUUAUUGGGCGUAAAGAGCGUGUAGGCGGCCAUGUAGGUCCGGUGUGAAAACUCGAGGCUUAACCUCGAGAUGUCAUCGGAAACCAUUUGGCUAGAGUCCGGAAGAGGAGAGUGGAAUUCCCGGUGUAGCGGUGAAAUGCGCAGAUAUCGGGAAGAACACCCGUGGCGAAGGCGGCUUUCUGGGACGGUACUGACGCUGAGACGCGAAAGCGUGGGGAGCGAACAGG
rnacentral:rRNA from 1 species